UACGGGGGGAGCAAGCGUUGUUCGGAUUUACUGGGCGUAAAGGGCGCGUAGGCGGCCACGACAAGUCACUUGUGAAAUCUCCGGGCUUAACUCGGAACGGUCAAGUGAUACUGUCGGGCUAGAGUACAGAAGGGGCAACUGGAAUUCUCGGUGUAGCGGUGAAAUGCGUAGAUAUCGGGAGGAACACCAGUGGCGAAGGCGGCUGCCUGGAGCUUUGCUGACGCUGAUGCGCGAAAGCGUGGGGAGCGAUCCGG
rnacentral:rRNA from 1 species